rfam:Streptomyces sparsogenes DSM 40356 contig00413, whole genome shotgun sequence.
CUUCAACGAGCCCAGCCACAGCGGCCGGUCCUCCGUGUGCUCCUGGCCAUACGUGGCCAGCAACGCCUGCGCCUC